GUUUCAAUGUGAUGUGUGUGGAAAAAGUUAUAAACAUUCGAGAUCCUUGCGGAAGCACGAAAGGUUCGAAUGUCAGAAAGAGCCUCAGUUUUCGUGUGUCUACUGUACGUAUAAAGCUAAGUUACGAGGAAACUUGCGUAAGCACAUUAUGGUGAAGCACCGUGAAGAAUGGACUUCAGGAGCCGCUAAGAUUUACGUUCAACGACAAACUACUAAACAUAUGGUCAAACUUGAGCCUGAGUCAAAUUGAUUUUUUCCCCUUCAGAAGUUACAUAGAAGUGAAUGUCACAGGAGAAGGAAAGAAAAAAACAUAUAAAUCUCACAUGACGAUAUUUUCGAGAAAACAAAUUGAUAAUGCUAUUUGAAAUUUAGUGAUAAAGAAGACACUCAUAUGUUAUGAUUGAAAGCAUAGAACUCGCCAUUUAAAAAAAUAUAUUCAAGUAAAAAGAG